rnacentral:lncRNA from 1 species
ACUUUUUAAUUCACUAAACUUUGAUAUUCAUGAUUCUAACAUUUAUAACUAAAUAUGAAUCACCAUAAUAUGAAAUAAAACUUUAUCUGAGUAUCGUGAUUCACGUCGUGAGAUAUUUUCGAUUUCUCCGAAGUCUUAGAUUCUUUGAUCUUCGUCAAUUUGCCUUGAUCCUUCAAGACUCCGACUUAAUUCACGAAACCUGCCAACAAACAAGACUUAACAGAAGACACAAUGUUAAUGGAGAGGCCUAGACAAAAAAUAGGAAAUUACACUUACUACUUCUAUAAGAAAUUUUUUUUUAUAAUAUAUUUCUGUCAUUUUUGUUAUAAAUUAUAAGAAAUGAACGGAAUAGUUAUAGAACCGUGACAUGUGGAAUGUUGAGAGAGUAAAAUAUAGAUUUUAAAAGUGAGAAAAAAAAAAUAAAAAAUAGGUAUUUA